UACUCAUUUGUCUGCACUAGAUUUUAGAGACCCCAUUUUCCGUGUAUUGGGUUUUGAGUGGCUGCUUGAGUUCAAAAGCAUCAUUCUCUCUUUUUGGGUGACUGUACGAUGCAGAUUGGAUGCGAUUUGGGUGAAGUUUAACCUCCAAGUUUGUUGUGGAGAGUUAAAGGUGAAGUCUUUCUGAGAAAUUUCACCAUUCGGAUUCGCUUGAGUGGGCUAUCGGAUUUGAUUUGCGCUACAGUGGCUGUUGGGCGUGCAUUGGUGAAUCAGUCGGCGCGAACAGGGUUUCGGUUUUUUUAAAAUUUUUCUGAGAUUUCUGCACGGAUUUAUUGAUUCUUGCAUUUUGCUCGCUGGCGUAGAGUUUAGCUUUUUUGGUCUGUUAAGUGUUUGAUGAUUGGUUUGCUUGAACUUUCCCGGACGCGUUUAUCGAUUUGUUGUGAACUUGUGAUGAAUGAAUGAUGGGGAGGGGAGAUUUGAUUUGUUUGGGUGUUGAAUUGUCUAAAAACUUGAGCUUGACUAGGGAUUGUUGAAUUAUUGCGUGAACUUUAAUGCAUCUGAGAAAUGGUUAGAUUUGGUUAAAGGAUUGACAGUGAAAUGUCUGGUAGUUCGUCUCCUAAUUCUGCCCCAUCGCCUGUUCCACCAAUAGCAUCUAGCCCACCGCCGCAGCCCUCACCUCCAAAAUCUCCGGCGCCGGAAUCCUCUUCUCAGCCCAAUGCCAACGGUGGCACUCCUCCUUCUUUACCCCCACAGUCCCCUUCUGUGGCUAAUGUGACAUCUCCUCCUCCAAUUUCAGUAUCACCACCACCAAUGGCUUCGCCGCCUCCACCUAUAACAUCUCCUCCCCCAACUAGUCCACCACCUUCAAUAUCCAGUCCUCCACCUGCACCAUCUGACCCACCACCACCACCACCACCGGCGGUGGUGAACUCACCACCGCCACCGGUGGUGAUGAACUCACCACCGCCUACAUCUCCUGAUCCUCCAGUUAGUUCGCCUCCACCUUCAUCUAGUUUACCAUCUCCACCUCCUCCAACAUCUAAUCCGCCGAGUAGUUCACCGCCUCCUCCAGCUACUAAUCCAUUACCUAGUUCACCUCCACCCCGAGUGGAACCCCCGAAAACUGGGGCUUCUCCACCGCCAAAGUCGCCUGUGACUCCAACUCCACCAUCUACUCAGCCUCCAAAAAAUUCUCCGCCCCCACCACCGUCAUCUAGGCCGUCGGAAAAUUCCCCUCCGCCACCAACUGCUGAGCCGCCUAAAAGUCCAACUCCAACUCCACCUUCACCAUCUAAGCCACCCAAGAAUUCACCUCCAUUUCCAGAAUCCAAGCCUCCAAGAAGUUCACCUUCUCCUCCAGAAUCAGAUCCUACAAAACCUUCACCCCCUCUGCCUGCAUCAGUACCCCCUAAUAACUCUCCCCAACCACCAAGUCUUGUCCCUUCACCACUUGCUCCAUCAGCACUUCAACCACCAGGAAUAAUACCCCCAUCUCCUCCUUCAACCUUAGUUCCUCCAAAUGAACCUGCUGACAACAGUUCUAGUAGCAAUGCCAGUGGUAGCCCCAAUUCCUCAGGUGGUGGGGGCAUUGGUACCGGAGGGACUGUAGUUGUUGGCUUAGUUCUUGGUCUUCUCUUGCUUGGUCUUGUUGGAGUAGCAGGAUGGUGCAUAUGGAAGCGUAAGAAAAAGGCGUCUGUAGUCAAUGGUGGUUAUAUCCUGCCAACCUCUUUUGCCUCUUCUCCAAAAUCUGAUUCUGCCUUGUUAAAAGUGCAAGCAUUAACACACGGUUUUGGAGGUGGUUCUGGCAGUGAGUUUGUCAAUUCACCAAGGGAACAAGGUGCAUUUGGCAAUUCGCGGGCAUGGUUUACCUAUGAAGAACUAGUGGAGGCUACUAAUGGUUUUGCCGAACAAAAUCUUUUGGGUGAAGGUGGAUUUGGUGCGGUGUACAAAGGAUGCCUAGCAGAUGGGUCAGAGAUAGCAGUAAAGCAACUAAAAAUUGGUGGAGGCCAGGGCGACCGUGAAUUCAGGGCAGAAGUCGAAAUCAUAAGUCGAAUUCACCAUCGUCACUUGGUCUCUCUUGUGGGUUACUGCAUCUUGGAGAACAAAAGAUUGCUCGUUUAUGAUUAUGUCCCUAAUGACACCCUUCAUUUCCACCUUCAUGGGAAUGGGAGACCAGUUAUGGAUUGGCCAACACGUGUAAAGAUUGCCAUUGGUGCAGCUCGCGGAAUAGCUUAUCUCCAUGAAGAUUGUCAUCCACGGAUUAUCCAUAGAGAUAUCAAGUCUGCAAACAUUCUUUUGGAUAAUAACUUUGAAGCUCGGGUUUCUGAUUUUGGACUAGCUAAAUUAGCUUUGGAUGCGAACACACAUGUUACUACCCGUGUAAUGGGAACCUUUGGAUACAUGGCUCCUGAAUAUGCAUCAAGUGGCAAGUUGACAGAAAAGUCCGAUGUUUUUUCAUUUGGGGUUGUGCUUCUGGAGCUAAUAACUGGACGCAAGCCUGUCGAUACAUCUCAGCCUUUAGGGGAAGAGAGCCUGGUUGAGUGGGCUCGACCUUUGCUGAGUCAGGCUCUUGAAACCGAGGAAUUUCAGCACCUAACAGAUCCAAGGCUAGAGAAAAAUUAUGUGGACAGUGAAAUGUUCAGAAUGAUUGAGGCUGCUGCAGCUUGUGUUCGCCAUUCUUCCACAAAAAGACCACGAAUGGGACAGGUUGUGAGAGCUUUUGAUAGUAUGGCCAUGUCGGACCUCACGAAUGGAAUGAGACUCGGUGAAAGUGAAAUAUUCAACUCCGCAGAACAAUCUGCAGAAAUAAGGUUGUUUCAGAGGAUGGCAUUUGGUAGUGGGAAUUACAGUACAGAUUUUUUCAGUCACAGUAGUUGGAAUAGUUGAUUCAUGGUAAAUACUGUUGAGGUAGUUACCGAAGUAUCGACCACUGGGCUUGCCCUGCAAGUUCAUCCGUUGAUAAGUGGAUAACUAUACUCAACUGCCAAGAAUGGAGGAUCGAAACGCCCUUGCUGCAGAUUGCAUUGUCAUAUCAUGCUGCUGCCAGUGCCUGAUUCUGCAGGUCAUCAUCUUCAUCUUGCUUAGGCUUCCAUCGAGAAUAAUUCGGAAGACAAAACGGUACGUGAAAAGGCGGCUGAGAAGCAGGAAGAGGGCGGAGAAGGUUGUGCAGAUCGAACUGUGUGGAUAUGGAGAUGAAAGCUCGAGAAGGCGUGGAGGGUCACCUGAUGAUGGGUUUCCAUUUAGUGACUCCAGUUUUGGAUGCUGUAUGGAUGAAGUUGAGAGGGUUUUGGAGGAGUUUUCACAGAAAGGGGAAUUUGCUUUUGGGAGCUUUUGGGGUGGUGAUGUUUCAAAGAGAGUGUUUUCUUAUUGUCAACCCAAACAAGAAGUGGUGGAUUAUGAUUGUUUUCAUCAUCAUUUGAUAGAAACCUUUGGUUCUUUCAACUUCAA